rnacentral:rRNA from 1 species
UACGUAGGUGGCAAGCGUUGUCCGGAAUUAUUGGGCGUAAAGCGCGCGCAGGCGGUCCUUUAAGUCUGAUGUGAAAGCCCACGGCUCAACUGAGGACGUGCAUCCGAAACUGCAGAGCUCGAGUAUGGAAGAGGGUCGCGGAAUUCCCGGUGUAGAGGUGAAAUUCGUAGAUAUCGGGAGGAACACCAGUGGCGAAGGCGGCGACCUGGGCCAAUACUGACGCUGAGGUGCGAAAGCGUGGGGAGCAAACAGG